AUGAGGAAGGGUAAGGGCGUGGCGGGGCACAGUCUUUGUCUUCCUUGCGUGUUGCUGGUGCGGCCGGUGGGGAGGCCGUCGAGCCGAGGUCCGCCCGUCGCCGUUGGCCCUCGCGCCCUUCACUUUGUCCCAGAGCCACCGUCUCUGCGGAGAUGCUCGCCGCUGUGGGCGAGGGUGGUGCCAGACGCAGGGAAAGGCCAGGGGACACGCACAACGAGACAUCUGAACUUGGCAAAGUACGAAAGCUCCCCGCUUGCGAACUCUCUGGACCCCAGACUAGAGAACGCGAUGUCCCGAGCUGAGUCUCUGUGCCUAGAAUUGGGGGGCAGGGGGCGCACGGGCCUCGAAGGGCUACCGAGCUCCCGGCAGUCCCGCCUCAGCCUGGGGCGCCCGCAACAGCGCCUCGGUCCCCCUGAGGCCGAGCAGAGGCUUCUUCACGCUCCUCCUGGUCCUUGGAGGAUCCGUUCAGCACUCCAGGUGAGGGUGCGCCAGAAAGAGCAGCCUGGACGUUCCAAACCCUUCGAAGCAUAGCAGCGCCGUCAAGGCACCAACAGGUAAACCUCAGGCCGGAGAAGCCACAGGGGUUUCCAGCCACAGCGGCCAAGCUGAGCUCAAGCGUUUCAAGCAACCCCUUCAAGAAAGAGCCGACUUGGGGGUCCCCAUGCCGCUCACUCAGAGAACCAGGUAGGGGAUCCGGGUCCCUGCUCUUGGGAAGAAUUUUGAUCAAGUUCAUCAACCCCUGAAAGAGUUGAGAAAUAUUUUACCACAUUGGAAAAACAACUGAGGCCAGCAAAGGCAAAGAGGUGGGCCGGUCGGCUCCCACAGGCCUGUGGUCCGAGCCUGGGCCUCUUCCUGCCCAGGGCAGCACGACAGGAUCCGUUCCCUGUUCCUGCUCCUUCUCUUCAGCCCCUCUGGUCAAUUCCUUCUCCCAGCUGCGUGGGCAUUUGAUACCAGGUCCCCGAAGGGUGAGCCCUUGCACAGAGACCUCUCCACUGUCCGCACCCCCGGACGAGGGCACGAUUUCAGAACACCUGCUCUCCUUGCCGUCACAUCUCCACGUGACUCCCAGCCCACGAGCCACCUCUGCAAAGGACCGAGGCCAGCAAACCUCUUCCUGAUGUACAACCAGUGGGACUCAGCUGCCUCCUGGACCGAUUCACUUCUCACAAAAUUAUCCUGACAGCCUCGCUUGCUGACCUCGGGGAACCCAGACUGAACCCGUUGCCUUGCCUUUGGGACCAGGACGGGCGUUGUUUAAAGAUGGGCCCUGUAUGUCGCUCCAGAUCAGAAUGUUUUCCUUUUAUAGCAUUUUAACAGCUUUUCCCAGAAAACAUCAGCCUUACACUGUGUCACGCUGUAUUUAAUUGCACAAUAUGCUCGGCUCUUUAAAAGAAUGUUGGAAAGAUUAAGUUUUAAAAUGAUAAGCCUGGGAAAAUGACCGAUUGGAGGCGUUUAACUGUUAUAAAUAUUCCUGUGUCAUAACUUGGUAAAUACUUGUUGAGGCCUAGGAUAUGCGAUGCAGUCAAGACCUUGGAGAACUUGUCAUUUACAGCA
rnacentral:lncRNA from 1 species